ensembl:lncRNA
AGCCUGGAGGUGCAGAGGCUGGCCUUGCUUAGCAUUCACAGGCUCAGAGGCAAGGGAGAGGUACCCCAUCAUCACCUUGUGCCAAAGGAUGUUUCUCCCUGAUAGACAGGGCCCAAGAGAAGUCAGGCUGUCCUUGGCACCAACAGGGUAAUUCACGUCUGACUUAAUGCCCACUGUGGAAACAGGCAGGAAGGACUAUGGGUAUUUAUCUCGACUGUUCACUUGAAUUUAAUUUCAGAGCAUGGGCAUAUUUUAUCUUAUUUUAUCUCAUCAAAAGGGAUAGAAAGAUGAGGGUUUAGUUUUUUCUGCCUGAUGUAGGAUGGCAUCAAUGACUAAAAUUAGCCACUCAUGAAUUAUGUUACCAAAGAUCCUUAGUGUAAGAAGGCAUACUGGUGUCACUUAACCCACAACUACUACGACAAAAAGAUGACAAUUAACAUUUAUUAAGCACUUGCUGUGGGGCCACACACUGUGCUUAGCACUUUAUAUGCAUGAUCUCAUUUAAUUCCUACAGCCAUGAACUAGGUAUUAGCACGCCUGCUUUAAAAUUAAAAUAAAAAUCUGAGCCUUGCGGAGGUCACAUGACUUGUCCAAAGACACAUAGCUAAUAAGUGAUGGAGCUGGGUACAAUUCUAGGUGUUUCUAACUGCAUGCAUGUCCAUGCCCCUGAGACCUUUACUCAGAUUCCAGGUAAAGUUAUUGGUGUUUAGAGGUAUGUGUGUGUGUGGAGUUGAGCAUGAUGGGAGGAGAGAAGGUAUUGAGGGCAGAUGAUGCGUUUGAACAUAAUAGGUCUCAGCCAAUAUUGUCUUUAAGUAUCUUGCUUAUUUAUUUCUCGCGAUGUUAAUUGUUGGUUUCCCCGGUAGAAUGUGAGCCCUAACAUAUAACUCAUUGUUUUCUUUCUUCCCUCUCAGUCCUGGCUUAAAAUUUUCCAUUCAUUUACUUUUCACCCUUCUUUUGCAUUAUUUUUCUUCUGCCACUACACAUCACAAUUUCUAAGAGGAUGGACCCUUUGGUGUCAAGACGUCACGGCUCCCUCUCUGUGUGGGAGCUCUUACUGAGGAUGAUCAUCAGACAGAUGCUGGGCCUGGAAAUGAGGAGUAUAAUUUCUAUUUCUGAUUUUAAGUGUUCCGAUGCACCAUUCUUCUUGCAGGAGGAAGGUGGAUAAAAGGGAGUUAGAGCUGAGAUACUGUCUCCUUGCACGGCCAAGAAGGACAGAAAGAGAAGAUGAUAACAAUGAAUACUGGUGUGGCGCUGGGAAAGUCGGCUCAGUGGGUGAUGUAACCGAAAUGCAUGUUGCCUUUUGAAGGAGCACCCAAGGAGCACCCCGUCCUCAAGACCUCCCUCGCUCAGGGGUGUAUACCUGGAAGAACGAGAAGGCCUGAUAGUCAAGACAUCGGGUUCACGCCUCCAUGUCUCGAGAAUGAAUCUGUUACAGCUGCUCCAUCUCCAGGGGCUGGAGAUGUUGAGAAAGUUGGAGGGAGGUUACACGGGACAAGACACAAGACUCCAGACUCCAUGAACCCUCCUCACUUAAAGCAAGGGGUGCAUAACCCACCC